ensembl:lncRNA
GCACAGCCCAGCAGACACGGACUGUAAACACGAGUGAGAGAGAAGAAGAUAGUUUUAUACCGGAGAGGAACGUCUGAGCAGCCGUGUUUGUACUGAUAAACUAGCAAAGCUCUUAAGUCUCACUUAUUGGGCCUGAUGUUAGUCACUGAUGUUCGUGUGUGUGAGCCACGGCAGACGCCACUUCCUCCUGUGCCAUGCUAUUGUUAGCUUCUCAAACACGGUAGCUCUCUGAAUAGAUACUUUGAAACCGCCAGCCACCGGUGAGUCUUCUGCAGACACGUUUCCCAUUGUUUAAAUCAUAUAGCUGUUGUUCAAUAACGCGCUGUUUCACUAGAGUCGAUAUUGACCUCAACCUGUUCAAUUCUCCAUCUGGAAAACUGCGGAUUCUGUGUCAUGCUGUGGAUGGAAGCUAAGCUCUGACCACUCGGUUCGAAGGAGAAUCAACAGAAGUUUAAAUGACAUGGAUGGCAGCACUGCACAACAACAGGGAAGUGAUGAAGUUAUCGUCCAAACAGAUGAGCAAAGAGCUGAAUAUUCAAUAAUUGCACAGAAAAAUAAUGAAGAUUCCAGCAAAGCAAAACAGCAGCAAGCAGAACCUUCCAUGACAGCACAGGAAAGUGAUGAAGAUGCCAGAAAAACAAAUGAGCUGAGAGCAGAAACUUCAACAAUAAGCCAUGAUAGUGAUGAAGACAGCCAAACAGAAGAGCAGAAACUUUUAAUGAAGCACAGAGCUCUCAGAGCAAUGAUGACGCUGGCAGCCAAACAGAAGUGCAAAGAGCAGACCUAUAAACAUUGGAACAGAAAGAACUUCAGCAUAUUGCCCACCUGUGGAACACCCACAUUAUUCAGAGAAGCAGAAAUGCAGUUGCACCUAGUGGCCGGCCUCACAUGAUGUACAUGCUUCCUCAGCUUUUUGGGGAAAGGACUAUCUCAAACAUGCAUCUGUGCAAGCAGUACAAACAUGCAGAGCACAAUGCAUACAACGAGGACCUUACCCAUGUGAUGAGACUGCCAUCCACUGGAAGGUUAAUGUGAACACAGACAACUUCCUUCAUCUCCCAUCCACAAUUGAACUGUAUCUAUUUUUAAGAACUUGCAUACGUAAAGAUUUGUGAAAUAAGCUAUCCUGGCUAGUAAAGCACCACCUGCAUUAAUAUUUUUCUAUUCAUAUUGUGUGAAGGUGUGAUAGCAGUGUUACAGAUUUUUCCAUUUAAAGGUAAUAAAAUAAACAAAUAGUUUAUAACA